GGGUGACAAUUCGUUUAGAGGGGGCCAAGAGGCAUUUAUUAAUGUGCUUGCUUGGGCUUUUGAUAGUUUGAGACCGAGGAAAGUUUAAUUACUUGUUUAUUGUGGCCUAAAAGCCAGAAGUCAGAUCUUUUGACAUCUCAAUUUUACUUUGUGAUAUGCCUCAUUAAUUGUUGAAGUUAGCCUAUAGUUUUUAUUUUUGUUUUUGUUUUUUUUUUUU
rnacentral:misc_RNA from 1 species